CUUGUUUGUUUUAAUGCAGUUUCAAAUGGGCUUUCUUCAGAUGUGGAGGAAACACUGCAGCCCAAAAUAACAGAACUUCCUUUCAACUGUAUUGGAACUGGGACUAUCUGGACUCAGUGUCAACCACUACUCGUAUCGUGUCAACCUUCUCCUCAGUAAAAGCUGAGCAAGGGAAAUACUGUCAGCUUUUUAAAAUACAGUCUAAAUGCUUGGUCAUAACUACUCAUCUGUCAAGUUGACACCUCAUAAAAAAAAAGAUGAGAGAGUUAACAUUACGAGGCCCUAGAAGAAAGACACGUUGCAAUUCAAGUCCGUAUUCUUGACCUUGCCCUGUUACUGGGAAGACUCAUGGGUCUGUCCAGUUAGUCUCUCCUCGUUGCCUGAAAGCAUCCCUUGCUCCAGCGGCCCUGGUCUCAGAAAUCAUUCUCCAGCCAACGUUGCACAUUUUCUCUUCACACUGGAGACUGCUUCAUGGGCUCUGACCAUCUGGUGUUUCUUCUCCUUUCCUUUUUGAGCAAAGUGAGGACAAGUGAGUCAGAAAGAGGAGAGACGAUAAAGAGGGUGACUAACUCAGGAUCACGUCUGUCACUUGUAGUGGCUGAGGGCCAGGCGAUCCUCCAGUGACACGCUCCCGGCCGGCCCCGUCACACGGGUAUGACUUCGGGGGGGCCGCCCUCCGAAGGUGGCGGUGCGUUGGUCCCCGUUUGUAAGGCAGGCACUGCCCCGGCGUCCUUGGCGUCCGUGUUCACCGUGCAGGAGCAGUUCUUCUCCAGCCUCUUGGCCAUGUCGGGGCAGUUCUGCACAAAGAUCACACGGUUGUAGGCCUUCAGCCUGCGCCACAGCUGAACGUAGACCUUGCACUGUACGUACAUGAAGACCAGACCUCCCGUGAAGCCGAUGGCCACCACAACCAGUUUUGUCCAAAAUGGCCAUUCAAGGACACCUUUGAAAUAAAAGAGAGGACAUUACCACCAAGUCUUUAUUGAUGGAUUUGGUGAUUUUUUUUCCUAUGGUUCCUUCAAAGGAUCAUGCCAGCCUGUUAAUAUUUCAUAGAUCAGGAAUAUAUUCUUAACAACUAGUAAGAAUUAUAACCUGAUUGCUUAAUUGCUUUAAAUAUUCUCCAGGUAUUGCCAAAACUGUACAUGAAGAAAUUCUCUCCCCUACCACUGUAAUGAUGUCUCUCAUCUCUCUUAGCCAUCAAGAACCUACUGUGAUCAUCAGAUACUACAUCAGAUACUUACUUCGACAUUUAUUCCUUACAGGUAAAUCUUUAAGGAAGGAUAGCGCACAUACUGAGUGAAAGAAUCAGACUUUAGGAUCCUCUUAAGGGAGAGCAGGCCUGACUCACUGAGCUGGGGGGCCAGCAGCUCACAGCUGGGGGUGGCUGUGUGCCCCGGGCCGCUGAGCAGUGUCUGGAAGUGGUGAUCGUUACACCUGGUGCGGGGCGGGGGCUGCUGACUCAGCAAGUCCUGUGAUGCUGCUUUGCCAGCAUCGCGCAACGUGUAGGACAGCGAGGAGUUACCCGGUCCAGAGUUCCACGAGUGCUGAGGUGAGAAGCCCUGUUGCAGAAGGUGAUCACUUACUUAAGCUCCUUUAUGUAGAAACUUGCGGGAAGACUCAGUAUACAAGUAAGACACCUUGGACUUCUCCAGAUUUAGAAGGAUGUUUGCUCUCAGCUGUUCCACUGAGCAGUAGUGUCUCCUUGUUUACAAGGAUGUUAACCACAGACAAGCUGAAGCGUGCUUUGUCUCCCAUUUUUAGGAAAAUCCCCAUGGAUUACAUCUCAUUUUCCCCUCUGAUUCCUAAAUCACACUACCACCUGUGCCCUGGAAGUGCCUGGAGAUUCCCUCCUUCCAAGCCUUUGCCCAUGCUAUUUCUUCUCUCAGAAUUUUGCUUCUCUAUUUCUGCAUGCCUACCUGUCCCACAAAACCUGACUCGGAA